UCGCACACAACAUCUACCUGGCACCCCACUUGUCAAAGCCCCCUGGGGCCAUGGAGACGCCCAUUUCCCUUCCCUCAAUCCAAGGAAUCCUACAUGUCAGGUCCUCAGGGAUCCCCAUGUCCCAGGCUUGGGGUAUUUUAUGUUGGGCAUUUGUAUCCUGACUUUGGGGGUCUGUAUCCUGGGUUUGAGUGUUUGUAUCCCGGGCAGGGGGUCUGUAUCUUGGGUUUGAGUGUUUGUAUCCCGGGCUGGGGGGUUGUAUCCCGGGCUAGGGGUCCGUAUCCUGCCCUGGGGGUCGUGUCAUGGGCCGGACCCCUCCAUCCCGCACUGUCUCCUCAGUCCUGGUGACGGGCGGGAUCGUGGCCGUGGCGGGGCAGUUCAAGGGCUGGUACUUCGCUGCGUACUCCAUCGCGGCAGGCGUCCUGGUCUGCCUGCUCGAGUAUCCCAGGAGCAAGAGGAAAAAGGGCUCCACCAUGGAGAGGUGUGGCCAGAAGUACAUGACAGCUGUGGUGAAGCUGUUUGGGCCCCUGAC